rnacentral:rRNA from 1 species
AACGAACGCUGGCGGCGUGCUUAACACAUGCAAGUCGAACGGUGAAGCCCUUCGGGGUGGCUCAGUGGCGAACGGGUGAGUAACACGUGAGCAACCUGCCCCUGGCUCUGGGACAACCACUGGAAACGGUGGCUAAUACCGGAUACGACCCGCCUCGGCAUCGAGUGUGGGUGGAAAGUUUUUCGGCUGGGGAUGGGCUCGCGGCAUAUCAGCUCGUUGGUGAGGUGAAGGCUCACCAAGGCGACGACGGGUAGCCGGCCUGAGAGGGCGACCGGCCACACUGGGACCGAGGCAAGGCCCAGACUCCGACGGGAGGCAGCAGUGGGGAAUAUUGCACAAGGGGCGAAAGCCUGAUGCAGCGACGCCGCGUGAGGGAUGACGGCCUUCGGGUUGUAAACCUCUUUCAGCUCCGAAGAAGCGAAAGUGACGGUAGGAGCAGAAGAAGCACCGGCUAACUACGUG